rnacentral:tRNA from 1 species
GGGGCGGUAGCUCAGCCGGGAGAGCGCUGCGUUCGCAAUGCAGAGGUCGUGGGUUCGAUCCCCAUCCGCUCCACCA